rnacentral:rRNA from 1 species
UUUAUUGAGAGUUUGAUCCUAGCUCAGGAUGAACGCUGGCGGCAUGGAUAAGGCAUGCAAGUCGAGUGGGUUUAGACCCACGGCAAACGGGUUAGUAAUACGUAGGAAUGUUCCCUCAAGUCGUGAAUAAUUUGUCGAAAGACAAGCUAAUACACGAUGUGCUCUACGGAGUAAAGAUUUAUCGCUUGAGGAGCAGCCUGCGUCCUAUCAGCUAGUUGGUGGGGUAAAAGCCUACCAAGGCUCUGACGGGUAGGGGGUGUGAGAGCAUGGCCCCCAACAUUGGGACUGAGACACUGCCCAAACUCCUACGGGAGGCUGCAGUCGAGAAUAUUCGUCAAUGGGCGAAAGCCUGAACGAGCGAUGCCGCGUGUAGGAUGAAGGCCCUCGGGUCGUAAACUACUUUUUUCAGGGAAGAAUUUCGAUGACGGUACCUGGAGAAUAAGAGGUUACUAACUCUGUGCCAGCAGUAGCGGUAAUACAGAGACCUCAAGCGUUAUCCGGAUUUAUUGGGCGUAAAGGGUGGGUAGGUGGUCGUGUUAGUCAGAUGUCAAAUCCUUCGACUCAAUCGAAGAACUGCAUUUGAAACGGCACGACUUGAGGCGGUGAGAGACCAGUGGAAUUCACGGUGUAGUAGUGAAAUGCGUUGAUAUCGUGAAGAACACCAAAGGCGAAGGCAGCUGGUUGGCACCGAUCUGACACUGAGCCACGAAAGCGUGGGGAGCGAAUGGGAUUAGAUACCCCAGUAGUCCACGCCCUAAACGAUGCACACUAGGUAUGGGAGGAAUCGACCCCUUCCGUGCCGUAGCUAACGCGUUAAGUGUGCCGCCUGGGAAGUACGAGCGCAAGCUUAAAACUCAAAGGAAUAGACGGGGAUCCGCACAAGUGGUGGAGCAUGUGGUUUAAUUCGACGAUAACCGAGGAACCUCACCAGGGUUUGAAAUCUAGCUGGAGAUCUUAGAAAUAAGAAGUCCUUCGAGGCCGCUAGACCAGGUGCUGCAUGGUCGUCGUCAGCUCGUGUCGUAAGAUGUUCCGUUAAGUCGGGAAACGAGCGCAACCCCUGUCGCGUGUUACACGUAUCACGCGAGACCGCCCCGCACCUUUUUUCUGAGCAGAAUGAAGAGACGUUGCCUUUGGCAGUAUUUCUUUGUUGCUGUUUACCGAAAAUAAUCGGGAAAAGGGUGCGGGGAGGAAGGAGGGGAUGACGUCAGAUCAGCAUGGCCCUCUGACACCCUGGGCGACACACGUGCUACAAUGGCCGGUAUAAAGGGUUGCCAAGUCGCGAGACGGAGCUAAUCCCAAAAAACCGGCCCCAGUUCGGAUUGGAGUCUGCAACUCGACUCCAUGAAGCCGGAAUCACUAGUAAUCGUGAAUCAGCCAAGUCACGGUGAAUACGUUCUCGGAUCUUGUACUCACAAUAAAAGCGCCGGGCAGUAUAUAUUUCUAGAGAGUUCAAAUCUCUC